ensembl:lncRNA
GAAAGUAAACAUUUCUCCAAGAAAGCUUUUCUAUUUGUGAAAUACCUGCAGAAGAGUGUUCUCUUAGCGUGCUGCUAAAUAUGACUGUGCCAUGCAGAAGCUGUGCCGUGCCUCUGAUGUGUAUUUCAUUCCUAGUCAAUAGGCAUUUGAGCUAGUUAAUAAAUUUUUAACAACGCUAUAGACUAGACAGGGUCAUCAGCCAUUCAAAGAAACAACAGUUCGGUUGUCAGUGGAGUGUUAAUUUCUUUCACUUCCAACUGACCUUAACAUAGAUUUCAAGAUUAGUAUUGCAGUGUUUCGCCUCUCUUGUUAAAAAAUGAUAAACAUAGAUUUGCAACUUCUUGCCUUUGAGAUAUUUAGAUUCCCCGUCAAUAUUCUGCAGGCUUUUCCUCCAACCUUGCUCUGCUUCGCUGUCCAAGGCUCCUAGAGAAGAAAUACCGUCUGUUUUCACUCUCUAAUGCAGCAAAGGUGCAAGGUUGAACAACUAGAGCCUAAUUAAAGCGCCAGAUUGAAAAAUCAAUAGGCAUCAAUAUACACGAGGCGUUAUAUUAAACAGUGGAAAAUAUUUUGUCAGAGCAGAACUGAGCGUGAGCCACUGUGAACUUCUGGUCUUCUUCUUUUCUUGUUUUGCUCUUUUCUAGAUUUGCUAGGAUUGUGCUGUUUGACAGCACACAUGCACACACCGACUAGAGUUGUUUCCCUGUCAAGGAAAACCUAUAAUUAAACUUUUACACUUGCCCCUCUUUCAAAGCACUGCUUUAAAAAUGCAAAGCUGCUCUUGUUUGCCUUCCAAGCACUUCAGUCUGCUUUCCAACUGCCCACCUGAAAAGGCAGAGUUGUUCUCGCUGCUCUCACAGCUAUGGACCACGAAAGCACUUCUGUCCUAAAAUGCUCUUAAACAUGUGGUUAAGUUCAAGUGGUACUGAGCCAAAGGGAUAUAAGCAUUGCUGAAGUACUGACUUCGCCGCCCUGCACUAGCACAAAACCUCACUGAACAGCUGGAGGUACUUCCUCCUGGUGCCACCAAUGCUGAUGCCUUCUUUCUGGCCACCCUUGGGGGACAGCACAGGACACCAGCAGUCCCCAUUUGCCUGCGUUUGCUGGCCACGCUCUGCUCCUUGAUGCAUGUUAAAAACAGUUGGUGGCUGGAGGGACACCUGAGCCAAGGUGAGCUGGUGAAGGAAUCCUUAGCUCGUUGAGAUAACUCUUAAAUUUUAAUCAGCACACUCUCUUAUUUGCUGCCAAAAAUAAUUUAGAUGAUGAAUAAAUGCAUGUGGAGCGCAUGCAUGGCUGUAAUUCAGCCGUGGUCACAAACUCUGCCAAUAAUGCAUGCAGCAGGAAAAAAAUUAUUUAUUGCCUUUAGCAUGUGGUAAUAAGUCUGGUUUUCUCAUGCUGAAGUCCAGCUGAAGCUAGGCUGAAAGGUUGGCAAGGGUACUGGAAGGAAAUUAAUGUUUGCUGGUAGGUACCCAAGAGGUGAUGAGCUCAGUGAGGUAACACUGAGUGUCACCAGAGCCACGGGGUGAACUUGACUUCCCCUGAGCUUCUGAACCACUGCAUCUGGAAGGCAGGGAAGGCUUUGCUGCGGGCACAGGCCUAUGAGGGCGGGCAGGGAGGGGAGUCCUGGCUCCCGAACUCCUCCUGCAUUGGCCUUGCUGGUAUAUGGGGCUGUAGGGCAUCGCUGGUGAGUGUGCGUCUACACCGUGGUCAGCAGUGGCACAUGGAGAAGGAGAAGUAGAGAUUAAAUUUGGGGCAACCUUCAGCCCUGACCUCCUAAUUCCACAUCCUGUCUUCCCUCGCACCUCAUUACUCAUUGGCCUGUCGAGCCUGGGCUCCAGCCUGCCAGAUUAAGGACGGCAAGUUUAUUUAAAAGGAAACAAAACAAAAACAUGCCAGUUUUCCUCAUUCCUGGCAGCCACUGAGAUGUCUCCCUGGGCAGGACCACACAGCGAGCAGGCGGUGGCAAGCCAACAAUUCCCUCACCCAUCCACAGCACCAUGGCAUCUGGGGGCUGCAGAGCAUUUUGGGGGCUGUCUUCUGUGAAGUCCCUCUGCUCCAAUCCCCGUUGGGACAAGCACUAUCCCCAGGUCCCCUCGGAUGGGCUUCUCAACACCUCCCUGGCUGCUGCUGGGAGUCUCGGUACUUCGCCCUGCUCCUGGGGUGGGAUGGGUGACCCCACACCCAAAGAACAGAGGUGUGAUUUUACUUUCCUUCUGCUCUGUCUGAAGGGACAGCCAGGCUCUUUUGGGGGCUUUCUGCCCUCAUUUCACUUCUUCUUUCCAGACUUGGGCUCAUGGGUGCUGCCCAGAAGAAUUUUUUUUUUUACUUCUGGUCCAAAAUGGGGAAAUUCUUAGGCAUAAAAUCCAGCUCAGCUGUGGCCCAUAAAGGACCUCAUACCGCUUAUGCUUUGUCAAGCAAUCAAGUUACAUGGUCUAACUGCAGAAAUGUAACAGAUAUAGUUUGUUUGGCUUUUAACUCACUAAAAAUGUUUAAACAUAAAAAGAGGCUUAGAACAUUUACAGUCAUAUUUGAAAUCAGAAUGUGUGAAAAAUGACUUUUCUUUUCAUAUUUGAACUCAUGCAAAACCUUUGCAGUCUCCACAAAGGCACGCAGAUGCAGCGAUGGGACCUCAUGAUGGAUUGUUGGUGUGAGCACAUGGACAUGAAACCAUGAACAGAGGAAUUUGCACAGGCCAGCAUUUGUGUUUCAUUCUGAAAGCCCAGCAGAAUCAGACCCCUAACUCUGGCUGGUGUUAAACAUGAAGGCAGCGUGCAGCUUUUCUCUUGCAUGGGUUCCCAUGUAGUACUGCUGACCUGCCUCACUGCAGCUACCCUGUUCAGGCCCUUGCAUGCCUUCAGGCUUUCCUUCCGAGAGUGCUUCUGAUGCCAGAGGGUUUUGGCAACAGUUGUAAUGUGCAUGAUUAUUUCCAGUGAAGAAACCAUUGGUGAUAACAGCAAUGAGGAGGUAUGCGGGUAUAAGCCACAGCUUGCUGAAGGCAUGAGACCAUUAGGGUAUGUAAGGAUAGGCUCCUGAUGCUGUCAGAGAGGAAGCGGCUCUGCACGUGAAAUAAUGUAGGGAAGGGAAUAUGCUAAACAUAGUUUAACUCCUGAGCUGCUCCCUGUGAAUAAAGUGUUUCCAAAAGCCUUCAGAUUUGGCUUGAGCUAGGUGCUCAUUCAGCUAAUGAAAACGUUACAUGCCCUCUGUCUAACCAACCUGAUGUAUUUGCUAAGCACUACAGCGAAAAGAGAUGCUUUUUGGUCACUUUUGUUGCCAUGUUCCCUGAUACCAAUGUUGACGUUAUAAACUCAAGCAGUAUUUUAAGUUGCUGUGAUCUUAAAAUUUUGUUUUCUUACGCAGCUGCCCAGGCCAGCUUACAUGCUGAUCAGGAUCUGCUGCAGCCUGGGAAUAAUCAGGCACCAGCUUCUUGGGCAGGCGAGUAAAUCCUUACUGACAUCAAUGAACUGAAAAAUUCUGAGGCCUGGCAGUGACAAAGGGAAUAGUGAAUGAGAGCAGUAUUUCUUUAUAUUGAUCUACCUUUCCUCAUCUACUAAUAACACUGACUGUUUACCCCCUGUAAUAAGCUGUGAUGGGUGCUAUGUGGGUCUUUGCUUUCCAGUUCUCCAGAAUCAGUUCACACAAACCAAGAAAUCUCCCAGUAAAUGAGCUGGCUAGGACUAGAUAAAAUUAAGUGUAUUAAUAUUGUUAAAGCUUGCAGUUCAAACUCUUGUUAGACAAAUUUAGACAUUGAUUUUAUACCUAAGAAUUCCUCUAACCAAUACUUAGUGUCUUCAACUCAGUCUCCCAGAUGGGAAGAGCAGACUCCCCGGAAGAGAAGGGAAGGGAUGGGUUCCCCAAAGCCACCUGGGGAACCUGGGCAGAUGCUGAUGACUUUGUCUUGAUCCAAAUCCCUUACUUUGUGUAGGAAAUUGGAGUUGAUUCUGUUCUUUGGAUUUCUGCUUUUAAUGGUACUUCUCGAGCUAUUUCUGUGCAUCAUCAAAGGUGGCAGUGUGUGAGCAAUUAAGCCCAAAAUAAUAUAAUUUUUCAUCAGUUUCUCAAUCAAGAUUUGGUAUGCUUUAAAGAUACAGGACUGUUUCUGAGAAGCACCUAAAUACAGGAUGAUUUUAUAGCCUGAGGAAAGUGCAGAGUGUGACAAGUGGAUGCAACUGAAGUUUGUAAGAUGAUGGAAAAAACUGUUAGGAACAAGGACUUAAGAACUCAUAGUGUGCAUCCACACAACACAUAGUUAAACUGUGGAACUCAAUGCCCCAGGAUGUUGUGGAUAUAAAAAUUGUCUAUGGCCUUAAAAAGUGAUGAUGAAAAGUAAUGGUUGAAAUAAAAUAAAAAUCCAUCAAGGAGUACAAAAGCCAAAGCAAGAUACUGACUCUGGCUCAGUUAAUGAGAGCUGCUGAAGUCAAAGCCAGGAAGCUGAGCUGUGGAGGCAGUGGUAUGGAGAUUUUCUUUUGUGAUCUCUUUCCUAAGUGCCUUCUGGUGGAGAAGGAAAUAUGUCCUUCCUAAACAAGAUGCUUGGUCUGAUCCUUAUACAAUAGAUUCUGGCACAAGACUGUGUAGGUACUGGUAUGGUCCUGAGCAAUAGGUUGAUGUUAAGUGCUCCUUGAAUGUCAG